rnacentral:rRNA from 1 species
UACAGAGGGGGCAAGCGUUGGUCGGAAUUACUGGGCGUAAAGGGCGCGUAGGUGGCCUUCUAAGUUGAACGUGAAAUCCCUGGGCUCAACCCAGGAACUGCGUCCAAGACUGGGAGGCUUGAAUCCGGGAGAGGGAUGCGGAAUUCCAGGUGUAGCGGUGAAAUGCGUAGAUAUCUGGAGGAACACCGGUGGCGAAGGCGGCAUCCUGGACCGGUAUUGACACUGAGGCGCGAAAGCCAGGGGAGCAAACGGG